CCUGCAACACACCAAAGGAAAAUGGCUGCUUGUGAUUUACAAGCUGCAGGAAAGUUGCACUGAGGUGGAGUGUUUUCUCCACAGUCUGUGGCCACAGAUUGGCCUGAUGUGUUUUUGAUGGUUGUGCGUGGUCUUGGGUGUUGGGAUACCAUUGUGGAGCUGGCGGGUGUCGGGCUCUGCUUCCCAUGUCACCUGGCAGGUGGCAGCUCAGUGGGAACCUCUCUUCUCUCCCCCAGACCAAUGAGAACCUGGGGUUCUUGCUCUUGGGAUGUCCAGGUCCGAGGGGAUGAUGCCCUGGGCUCCCUGGCAGGUAUAAAUCACCCAGUGCUCACUGACUGCAAAAUGGAUUUGUACCAUUUAUGAAUUUCAUUCAUCGCACUUACAAAAGAUUCCUUUCUCCACAUGAAAAAAAAAAAUAAAAAAGGAAAAUUAAAGCAAAGCAUUUCUGCACAUCCUGAUUGCUUUGUUUACAGGAACUGUGUCUCUAAAUGCUCCAGGCUGAAGCACCGGUGCCGCCAAGAGAAUAAACUGCAUGUACAUCACGGCAAUCAUCCCUGCCGCUUUCCCAGGAACCCAGCACUCCCUCUGGAGCGAGCCUCCGAUUUUAAGCCCUGAAAGAGCAGCUUGACACCCUGUGACCUGCCUGGAGUUAACAGCUUAGGAGAUGGAAACAUGUCUGAAAGUCUCCAGGAAGAUAAUACUUGGGAAGACAGGUUUAAGCUAAAUAAGAAAGCAGAUUUCAUCGGCCUUCUUGGAAACAACCUGUCCAGAGAACUGUGAUCCGUUUCUAAAUUUGGCCUUUGCAUUUUCCACGUACAGGAAGUGAUGAAAAUGGCAGCAGUAAUCCCUGUUUUGGCAGCGGAAGAUUUUCCGGAGAGAUUUGGAUGUACUGCACCAACGCAAAUAUAAAUACAGGUUUUAUGCUGAUUUUCUCUUUCCCAAAAUUACUUUUACUCUUGUUCUUUGGAUGGUGAUAUAACAGUCUGAAUAGAAGAAACCUGACCUAAUGCAUAAGCACAUUAACUUGUGGCAAGCCAAACUGCA